AAACAGGGUAGAAUCCUACAAAUUUACUGUUUUCCCAAAAGUAACCAUCCGAAAAAGAUGUAAAAAACUUACAAAAUGCCUUGAUUUUAGACACUCCAAAAAUAGCUUUUCAUUUCUGGACCAAGCCAAUUGGCGCAUGGAAAAAAUCAAUGAAAUACAACUUAAAGCGACUUAAAAUCCUCGACACUCCAAUUUUUAGAUACCCCAAAAAUAUAGCUUUUCAUUUCUGGACCAAGCCAAUUGGCGCAUGGCAAAGGUGUUAAAAAUGAUUACCAAAUAAAUUUUGCAUACCCCAACUGUAUUCAACUAUUAUACGCACAUAAAAAAGAUACACCUAAUUGUUCGAAGUCUACUAAAAUAUCUGAACACUCCAUUAUGGAUUUUCAUUUAGAGAUCGCUAUUAAAACUUUAAUGUUAUCGUAAACAUGUUCGGUUUGUGUCUUAAUUAUCAAAUUCAACACCCCAAUAUUCGACUAUGCCUUCAUGAUAAUUCUUGGAUUCAGAAUAUUUACAGAAUUAAUAAAAAUAAGUGCAAAACA